UUACUGAGUUUAUUCUAUAUACCGAUUUUCUUCUUUAGCCGAGGAUAUGUUAGUUUUUUACUCCUUUCUAUUUUCAUAAUUUCAGAUAAAAUUAAUCUCAUUAAUAAUACUCGUUGAGAGGGAAAAGAGGAGAAAAUGAAAAUUGGUGGAAGGUAUUCUGCGACAAUAAAAUUUUCCUUCGAGAAGUUGUGUUGAUGGUUCAACUCACAUUAGUCUUAAUUUCUAAUUGUGGAAAACAAUUCCUCUCAAGUCACAUAAAUACCCAAACGAAUCUUACUUCAUUAUUCGUUCUUGCAAUUAUUUAUACACCAAAUAACUCUUGAAAAAUUGAAAUAUCAAAUUUUAUUUUACACCUCCAUUUGUUGAUCAGAUACAACAAAUAAUUUACACAAUAUUGAAACAAGCAAGCACGAAUAAAAACAGUUAGCGGUUGCGGCAGUAGCCAGCGAC